rnacentral:rRNA from 1 species
UACAGAGGUCUCAAGCGUUGUUCGGAUUCAUUGGGCGUAAAGGGUGCGUAGGCGGCGCGGUAAGUCGCGUGUGAAAUCCCCGGGCUCAACCUGGGAACUGCAUCCGAAACUGCCUUGCUAGAGUAUGGGAGAGGGAAGUGGAAUUUCCGGUGUAGCGGUGAAAUGCGUAGAUAUCGGGAGGAACACCAGUGGCGAAGGCGGCGACCUGGACCAGAUAUUGACGCUGAGGUGCGGAAAGCGAUGGGGAGCAAACUGGGGGAAU